UACGUAGGGGGCAAGCGUUGUCCGGAUUUAUUGGGCGUAAAGAGCGUGUAGGCGGCCAGGGAGGUCCGUUGUGAAAACUCGAGGCUCAACCUCGAGACGCCGAUGGAAACCCCCUGGCUAGAGUCCGGAAGAGGAGAGUGGAAUUCCUGGUGUAGCGGUGAAAUGCGCAGAUAUCAGGAAGAACACCCGUGGCUAAGGCGGCUCACUGGACCGGAAGCUGACGCUGAGGCGCGAAAGCGUGGGGAGCAAACAGG
rnacentral:rRNA from 1 species